GGGCCAGUAGCUCAGGUGGUAAGAGCACAGACCUUAUAAGUCUGGGGUCGAUGGUUCAAGUCCAUCCUGGCCCACCU
rnacentral:tRNA from 1 species